UAUGUACUCCCUCCGUCCCAAAAUUCUUGUCUUAAAUUUGUCUAAAUACGGAUGUAUCUAGUUACAUUUUAGUGUUAGAUACAUCCGUAUCUAAACAAAUGUAAGACACGAAUUUUGGGAUGGAGGGAAUACUAC
rnacentral:pre_miRNA from 1 species